rnacentral:rRNA from 1 species
GAAUAUUGGACAAUGGGCGAAAGCCUGAUCCAGCCAUGCCGCGUGAGUGAAGAAGGCCCUAGGGUUGUAAAGCUCUUUCAGCGGGGAAGAUAAUGACGGUACCCGCAGAAGAAGCCCCGGCUAACUUCCUGCCAGCAGCCGCGGCAAUACGAAGGGGGCUAGCGUUGUUCGGAUUUACUGGGCGUAAAGCGCGCGUAGGCGGGUUGUUAAGUCAGGGGUGAAAUGCCGAGGCUCAACCUCGGAACUGCCUUUGAUACUGGCAACCUGGAGUUCGGGAGAGGUGAGUGGAAUUCCGAGUGUAGAGGUGAAAUUCGUAGAUAUUCGGAGGAACACCAGAAGCGAAGGCGGCUCACUGGCCCGAUACUGACGCUGAGGCGCGAAAGCGUGGGGAGCAAACAGG